rnacentral:tRNA from 1 species
CGUCCACUCAGCCAUCUCUCC